rnacentral:lncRNA from 1 species
AUGGAGAAACACUGUCUGCAAAGUAACGAUUGGCCCCUACACCAAGGAACUAUGUUCCAAAAAAGUUUGAUCGAGCAGCUUAACACAUCCAGUCCUCUGCCAUUUCAAGAAUUAGAAUUAUGGGGCUCUUUCCCUUCAGUUGAUGGUAAUUGGCUCAACAUUACCAACCGGACCAAUUGCACAAACAAUUCUCCACAGAUACUCCCAAUUAAUGGGUCAAGUGCCAUAUACUUUCAAUCAUCCUGGGAUAGGUGGCAAUAUCAGCAUGGUGAGACAAAUCUGUUUAUAGGAUACCAGAAUGUGUCAGGGAAGUCAGACCAUUGGAAUACAACUAGGCAUGUGGGUGAAGUAGAUGUGAUAGUUAUGGGUGGAGUGAAAUUACCCCGAGGUUAUUUUCUUAUUUGUGGGGAUCGGGCUUGGCCUGGGAUACCACAUCGCCCAGUUGGAGGUCCUUGCUAUAUCGGGAAGCUUACACUAUUUGCACCUCACAUGAGGGACGUGAUGACACGGCCAUACAAUAGGUCCAAGAGAUCCUUGCGUCAAUUAAAUCCAAAUUGUAAUGAUAAAGUAAACCUCGGCAAGCUAAGUACGACUGUAGCUUUGUCCUGGUUUUUACCCGGAGGAAUGGCUGCAAGUAAUUGGAACAGAAUUAAAAGAUUAGCAUGUUGGGCAGUAAAAGAAUUUAAUACUACUUCAGACAUUCUCUCUGGACUUGCUAGCGAUGUAGAUAGCUUAAGACAUGCAGUACUACAAAACCGUGCCGCUAUUGAUUUCCUUUUGUUAGCUCAUGGUCAUGGUUGUAAGGAGUUUGAAGGAAUGUGCUGUAUGAACCUUUCGGAUCAUUCGAAAAGUAUUUAUCAACAAAUUGAGGAACUGCGUUAUAGAGUGAAAAAUGUGAAGGAAGGAAUCAGUGGACUAGAUGCAUGGUUUACAUCUCUGGGAAUCACAGGAUGGUUAAGGGACUUGUGUAAACAAGGGGUUACUAUUCUGAUUUUUGUAUGUGUUCUGUUAAUGGUUAUCCCAUGUGUUUUACAGUGCUUUCAAAAUUGUUUGUCGCGGAGCCUUGAUGCAUUGCUUAAAAAGAAAGGGGGAGAUGUUGGGGCCUUAGCGAUACUGAAUGAAUACCAGGGUUUGUGA